rnacentral:rRNA from 1 species
AUGAUAGUCAAUGUGGGCCCUCAACACCCAUCAAUGCAUGGUGUUCUUCGACUGAUCGUCACUCUCGAUGGUGAGGAUGUUAUUGAUUGUGAACCCAUAUUAGGCUAUUUACACAGAGGAAUGGAAAAAAUCACGGAAAACCGAACUAUUAUACAAUACUUACCUUAUGUAACAAGGAUAUAG